rnacentral:lncRNA from 1 species
UUCUUCACACACGAUUUGGGGUUUUAGGUCUCAAUCCAUUCCAGCCUGUAUAACUUCUUCCCCAACCCUUUCAUCGCUUCUUAGGAUGAGGGAACUCAUGGAAAAGGGUACAGAGCAUCUGGGUUUUUUAAGCUUUUGAUGCAAAGCUUUAGAAUCAAGUUUCAAAGAAGGCGAUUUCAUUUGAAAAACUUUAGGCUACGAGUUCAUUUUUUUUGAUAUGAUUUGUACGGUUAAUUAUGUGGUUUGAAAUUCAAACAAGCCCAUAUGGAUAAGGGGCUGGAUCACACAUGUUAGUGUUAAAUGUGGCUCAGUGGCUAUGGUGUUGACGAGGCUGUUUAGAAGUAUAGAUGCUCAAGGGCUCUAAGAAAGUGGAUGCAUGCUUAAAAGAUUAUGACGUGAAUGGGCUGCACCGUUGACCUUUCAUUAAGAAUUUUUAAUCUCAUCAUUGUCAUAUCCAAAACGCAAGGAGAUUAUGAUCCAACCGAUGUGAUGCAGUCAUGCAGAUGGUGUUAUUGAUGUUUGGAAUCCAUGGUAGCAUGGCGGGUUACUGUGGGCGAGUAGCAUGAAUAUGGGAUAGAAGAGUAGAUACCUAGGGAGGUAAUUACAGUUACAGGAGAAACUUACGGAAAGUUGACAAGUAAUCGAAUUUUGUUUUUUUUAGAUUAAAGAAAAAUUGAAGAAUUUAGGCGUUGCGUAGAUCUUGUUUAAAGAAGCUCAAAUAGCUAAGAAGGGAUCAAUGAAGAAGAAAGGGAAAAACCCUUAAAGAUAGGGUAGUGGAGUGUUUGGUGGUUUGAUGAGAUUUGUGUUUUUUUUUUCUUCGUGCUGAUCUUUUGAUGUAAUAGCUUCUUGCAAAUCUCUAGAAAACCGAUUUACCAUAGUCACAUGGUUCGCGGUACAGGAAUGUGGUACAGGAUCGCAAUUCGCUAGGUCCCUAAAAUCCGGUACGAAGGGGGUUAGGGCUCAUUUCGGAUCGUUUCGGUACGAUGUACCAUAUCAUGCG